CUUAUACCAAAUUGAAUUAAUCCACAAGUCCUCUAAAAAAAUAAACCCAUUUGACAUUCAUUAGGUCUUAAGAACCAAAGGGUGAAUGAAUUCUGCUAAGAUGCUAAAGCAUAAUGGUUUUAAAUCAGGAUUUUUUCAUAAACAAUGGCUUUAAUCAGGACUACUAUGUGAUUUUCUUCAGCAGAACAACAAGGUAAGCUGCAACAAUGAUUACAGCAGCUGAACAGAAGAUGGCAUUUGCAAAUGCUGAACAGCUACAUGAUUGCAACAGGUUCAUGGAUAUGGUAAUCCACUAUUAUUUCAAUGUUAUAGAGAGCGAUCACAGCUAUGCAACUCCGUUGGCUGAACAGCUACAUGAUUGCAACUGGUCUAUGGAUAUGGUAAUUCGCUAUUAUUUCAAUGUUAUAG
rnacentral:lncRNA from 1 species